CCUACGGGGGGCAGCAGUGGGGAAUAUUGGGCAAUGGACGCAAGUCUGACCCAGCAACGCCGCGUGAAGGAAGAAGGCUUUCGGGUUGUAAACUUCUUUUAAGGGGGAAGAGCAGAAGACGGUACCCCUUGAAUAAGCCACGGCUAACUACGUGCCAGCAGCCGCGGUAAUACGUAGGUGGCAAGCGUUGUCCGGCUUUACUGGGUGUAAAGGGCGUGCAGCCGGAGAGACAAGUCAGAUGUGAAAUCCACGGGCUCAACCGCGGAACUGCAUUUGAAACUGUUUUUCUUGAGUACCGGAGAGGUCAUCGGAAUUCCUUGUGUAGCGGUGAAAUGCGUAGAUAUAAGGAAGAACACCAGUGGCGAAGGCGGAUGACUGGACGGCAACUGACGGUGAGGCGCGAAAGCGUGGGGAGCAAACAGGAUUAGAUACCCGUGUAGUC
rnacentral:rRNA from 1 species